UACGUAGGUGGCAAGCGUUGUCCGGAUUUAUUGGGUUUAAAGGGUGCGUAGGCGGCCUUGUAAGUCCGUGGUGAAAUACUCCAGCUUAACUGGAGGGGUGCCAAUGAUACUGCAGGGCUUGAGUACAGAUGAGGUAGGCGGAAUUGACGGUGUAGCGGUGAAAUGCAUAGAUAUCGUCAAGAACACCGAUAGCGAAGGCAGCUUACUGGGCUGUAACUGACGCUGAGGCACGAAAGUGUGGGGAUCAAACAGG
rnacentral:rRNA from 1 species